UAGUGGUGUCCAGUACGAGGUGGGGAUAAGUUUGGGACUCUAGCAUUUCACCGUAUCGCUUGCAAACUUGAAAAUACAAGACAUAGCGUAACACAAGGAGUAUUAUUAAAUUAUACGAAUAUUUAACGUUUUAUGUGGUACAAAAUUUCGCCCUGGUUAUAUGCAACUAGCAUUACACCUGUAAGUGGUCCCAUAGGUGACCUUAUAAGAAAGAUUUGUUGCAAAUGUUCCAAAGGUUGCAGUUUUCUUGAUUUUUCGUCUGGUAUUACAGGAAAAUAAUAAAAUAUGUGAAUCGUGCCUGUUAGUAUACUUUGUGACAGGUAGAUGAAGAAAAUGUCCAACCCAAAAAUAUUGGGUUUUUUGCUGAUCUUAUUAUUGGUAUAAAAUAAAACUGCGAUGCUGAAGAUUCCUUGCUUUUGUCUAGAAUAGGUGGUUAAAAGCAAAUCGCACAUGUGUUACUCUAAUGCAAGAGUUUUGUUAUCCAUCUACAACAAGUUGUGGUGACACAAGCUGCGACCCUGAAGAUUCCUAUAAAUAGGAUUCAGAUGAUUGUAUCAAAGAUACGAACUUUUGUCCAAAUUCCUACAGCAGUACCAGAACAGUUUUCAAUUUGGAAAGCGAUUCCGAAUUAUACGAUUUUGAAAACUCUAAUAGAACCGGAAAGUAUCGAUUGUACUUCAAACACAGAUACAUAUAGUUCAGAAAUACCUAACCCAAAAGAGGAAGAAUUAAAUUACACAUUAGAACGGGGCAAGGCGAAAACAAUACGAAGCUUUUUUAUUUUCGGAGAGACUAGGCGAUGAAUAUUUUGAACUUCUUUUCCGAUUCUAUUUUCGCAUUAAUUUUGGAAGAAACAAAUAAAUAUACAAAACAACGAGUGGUCAAUUUGAACUUAGAAUUAGAUGAGCUAAGACCUUUUAAGGCUUGUUAAGUAUUAUGUAGUUUCAUAGACUCAAAAGUAUAAAAUUAAAUUAGUUGCAAAAAUUAAGGUCACAUAAAGCACGUCCCUCGGUGAAACUUCUAAAUGAAAAUUUUUGUUAUUUAUAUGAACCAUACAGAAACCUGGCGAUUGAUGAAAUGCUUCAAAGGGCUCUUUAAGGCUGUAUAUGCCAAUGAAGGCCACUAAGUGGGGUUUCAAGCUGCGCGUAAUUGCUUGCUGGGUAUACCUUGGGUUUCAAAAUUUAUGAAGGUAAGGUAAUAAGGGAAAUAGAAAAUGAGUUUUGAGCGAAUGAACAAUUUUUCAAAUGUUAGAACCAUAUAUGGCUAAGGGAUAUUACUUAUAUUUCGAGAUGAUUUUUAUAGUUUUUUCCGCUUUUGAAGGAGUUAAUCGGUCACAGUACUUUAGCACGUGGCAUAUUCCGAACUCUUCAGAGCAUCUGAAAUUUGAAAAAUUCCUAAAGUCCAGUGAUUACGAUUUUUGUAUAUCGAGUGACAUUUCUGUUUAUACGUGGAAGGAUCGUCGCAAAAAAUCUGUCUUAAUAAUUAUUUCAUUCCAUUAUCCUUCCGAUAAAUAACAGUUCUAAGGAUUAAUAGCAAAGGUGAAACUUUAUAGUAAAUAGUUAUAUUUGUAUAACAUCACAUCCAGCAAACUGAGAGUUGCGUAGAGCCAAAAUCUCUAGUAGCUAAUUUUUAUCAUUUUCAGACUCUAAUAAAUAGAAAUAAAAUUUAAACAAAUGUUGGUAUAGCGUUACUGUUGAGAGUACAGUCUGAAAAGUAGAUGUGGGAAAUCACCUUUCAGUGCAAGGUACGAAACGUAGGUGUGUCUAUUGUAGCACAAAACUAGCUUGUUGUUCCAGAGAAAGUACUUAAAAACUAAGAACAGAACUGCAAAACAACAUAGAACAGUUUAAUUAAGUUCAUUAUAUUUAUUCCUCGAAAUGUCUCCCACCGAUUUCGAUUCACGCUACAACACGGCUAGGCUGUGUAAUAAUAAUAAUAAUAAUAAUAAUAAAGUUUUGGUGUAGGAAAUGCUUGAACUGAGGUGGUUUUUACUUUAUGAAAAUCCAUUUAUCAAAAUCAAUGAGAACUAAAAGUUUAGAUUUUCACAAAAUUAUAUAUUUUGACAUGAUAAUUGUUCCGACAACACCGGGUCUUUAUCACAUUUGAUGUUGUCGAAAAAAUUGUCAUGACAAAAUAUAUGAUUUCGUGAAAAUCUGAACUUUUAGUUCUUAUUUAUGUAGGAAAUGCUUAAUAAAAUUGGAAGAGCAUUAAUAGGGGUCAUGGAAUGUAAGUAUAAUAUGCAGGGUAUUUAAUUUGAGUUUUUCACGAAAACAUUUUUUGUUUUAAUUUUGACUCAGCCUGCAUAAACGAUUCGGACUAACUUCAAGACAAGUAUAGGAUACAUGACUGUACCGCUUUAUAAAAUUGUUGCCACCAUAAAACUAUAGCUGUCGGAAACGGCGUCAAAAAUAUAGAGUAUUAAAAGCAUUUGUGACGAAAAAAUUGCCACGAAUCCGAAAGCAUUCAGUAUAGACUAUAACACCCCUACCUUAAUAUACGGGGUGUUUCAUUUUAAAAAAUAU